CCUACGGGAGGCAGCAGUGAGGAAUAUUGGUCAAUGGACGAGAGUCUGAACCAGCCAAGUAGCGUGAAGGAUGACUGCCCUAUGGGUUGUAAACUUCUUUUAUAUGGGAAUAAAACGUUCCACGUGUGGGAUUUUGUAUGUACCAUAUGAAUAAGGAUCGGCUAACUCCGUGCCAGCAGCCGCGGUAAUACGGAGGAUCCGAGCGUUAUCCGGAUUUAUUGGGUUUAAAGGGAGCGUAGGUGGAUUGUUAAGUCAGUUGUGAAAGUUUGCGGCUAAACCGUAAAAUUGCAGUUGAAACUGGCAGUCUUGAGUACAGUAGAGGUGAGCGGAAUUCGUGGUGUAGCGGUGAAAUGCUUAGAUAUCACGAAGAACUCCGAUUGCGAAGGCAGUUCACUGGACUGCAACUGACACUGAGGCUCGAAAGUGUGGGUAUCAAACAGGAUUAGAUACCCCGGUAGUC
rnacentral:rRNA from 1 species